GACGAACGCUGGCGGCGUGCCUAAUACAUGCAAGUAGAACGCACAGUUUAUACCGUAGCUUGCUACACCAUAGACUGUGAGUUGCGAACGGGUGAGUAACGCGUAGGUAACCUGCCUGGUAGCGGGGGAUAACUAUUGGAAACGAUAGCUAAUACCGCAUAAUAUUAAUUAUUGCAUGAUAAUUAAUUGAAAGGUGCAAUUGCACCACUACCAGAUGGACCUGCGUUGUAUUAGCUAGUAGGUGAGGUAACGGCUCACCUAGGCGACGAUACAUAGCCGACCUGAGAGGGUGAUCGGCCAAACUGGGACUGAGACACGGCCCAGACUCCUACGGGAGGGAGCAGUAGGGAAUCUUCGGCAAUAGACGAAAGUCUGACCGAGCAACGCCGCGUGAGGGAAGAAGGUUUUCGGAUCGUAAAGCUCUGUUGUAAGAGAAGAACGGGUGUGAGAGUGGAAAGUUCACACUGUGACGGUAUCUUACCAGAAAGGGACGGCUAACUACGUG
rnacentral:rRNA from 1 species